AUAGUUGUGGCCGGUGGCGGGCAACAGUUGGUUGGGUCGGCACCAGGUGGCAGGUCUGGCGGACCACAUUUGCUGAUGUUGGGGGUUUGGAUGGGAGCAGCGAGAGCAAAAUGGGGACUUUGGGAGAGAGUGGAAGAGCCGUAGAGACCGGGUAUGUUCAGGAAGAAGAUUUGUGGGGUUGGACUUUUCUUCGACUUUAUCUGGUUCAACACUCAACUUUGUAAGAAAUCUCUCUGAUAGAUUGGGGACUUUUUUUCUUCCUCCAACGUGCGCAAAUAAAAGGUUGAAAAAAAAAAUCAAUUAUUACUUUAUUAAUAUGUAGUCAUCUUGUACGAAUAUAUAAUAAUUACAUAGUCAUUUAUUUCAUCGCAUUAAAGGAA